UUUUUGGUUUUAUAUACCCAUUUGGUAGUUACGGUGGAUGCUCCGGGUAGGAGCUCGCAUAGCUCUCAUGUCUGAUUUUUGAUGAUCGAAUCUUGCUCUUGUAUUAUUGCAGCCCGCCAUUCAGAGCUUGAGUUAGCAUUUGUGAAAGUGAUAAGAUUGGUUGGUUCCUUCGUGAUGCCGAAGAAGCAGUCGACAUUUAUAGGAUGAAGAGGUUUGACGGUGUCUACAGAAUAUGUGACAUUGUUUUUGAGCCGCGAGGAGGGUUUUCUUGGCCAAGCAGGGGGUUGGUGCCGAGUAUGUUGUUGUGUUGGGGCUGGAUUAGAGGAUUCUGAUGUAGAAUUUUGCAAGGUGUUGGUGGCGAUUGAUAUUAGGUUGAGAAACUUUGGAUUUGCAUGUUCAAUAAAUUCUUCCCCGAGACAGUUGACUGGAUUGUGCAGGUCGGAGGAUGGUAUGUUUUGGGUUUCUUCAAUGAGCGUUGUAUCGUGAGGUGUCACGGUACUUCCAAAGUGGUUGUCAAAGAGAGUAUUCUCUGGUGAAUGUAGAGCUGAUUGAUCAAGUUCGGAGGUAACAAUCGCGGGACUUGUGUUGUUUUUGAGCCAGAGUGCCAAUGAGUGCAACUAUGAGGUCUCUUUAGAUAGGAUGGAGCCUUUGUUGAAUCGCACAGUUUGGGUUAUGAUGAGUUUGUGAUCCGCGGGGAUCCACACUCGAUAGCCCUUGGUCUAAGAAUCAUAACUCGCGAGGAUGCCGAUUUUGGAAUUUGGCUCUAGCUUGGAGCGUUGAUCAGGCUGUAUCUACACAUAUGCACGACACCCAAAUAUUUGAACGAAAGAAACGUCAAGUUUUUUGCCAAAAAGCUGUUGGAACGACACUACAUGAGGUGUGAUUUUGUUGGAGACCUGUUGAUGACGAAGACUGCCGUGUUGAUAGCCUCCGUUCAGAGGUAAGAUGGGUUCCAGCUUUAAUAGUCAUGCUACGACCAACCUCGAGUAGCUUGCUAUCCCGAUUUGUUCUGGAGUAGCCGCAUUGGUGAGUUUGCAUCUUAAGCCUGUGGAUGCACAGAGAUCAGCAAAUUGUUGAGAAAGGAAAUCUCCUCCCCCGUCUCUUCAAAUGCAGUUGAUCUUGCAAUUGUGUUGGACCUCGAUCAUAUUCUUGAAUGAAAAAAAUUGUUCAUAGGAUUGAGAUUUUAGGCAUAAGAAGAAAGUCCAGAUGUAACGGCUAAAAUCAUCUACAAUGACAAACCUGUAAUUAGAUCCUCCUUGAGAGGUAAAGAGGAAGGGACCACAGAGGUCGAGAUGUUAAAGAUCCAGCGCCUUGGGUGCUCGUGAGGUGCUGACUUUAGGCAGACUUGCACGCGUUUGUUUCCCCCUGAUACAUGCUUCACAUGUUUCAGAAUGAGCUGGGAUGUAGGGGAGUCCAAUCACCAUGUUGUUUGAUGCCAGCUCGUGAAAGCGAGCAAAACUGAGGUGCCCGAGGCGGUGAUGCCACAACCUAGCUGUGUAUAGGUCAAUACUAGUUAUGUUCGCUGUGAGAUUUGGUGGAUGGGAUGAGAGUUGAUACAGACCAUUUUCCUUGUUUCAAAACCCCUUUGCUACAAUCUUCUUAUGAUCUUUGUUGUACAGAAUACACUUUUGAUUGUCGAAGCAUUCUAUGAUGGGGUGAUCUGUGAAAGACCCGAUUGAUAAGAGAUUCUUUUUCAGAUUGGGUAUGUUGAGAACUUUAGAAAUUUCCUUUAUUUCACCCAAUGGGAGUUUAAAGUGAACACUAUCCAUACUGGUAAUUGGAUGAUUUUGAUCGGCAACGGUUUUAACAUUUUUGCUAAAGUUCUCUAGGUUAUCAAAACUUUGUGGUCGCCGGUCACGUGUUGAGUGGCUCCGCUGUCAAGGUACUAGCUGGAGUCAAGAUGAUGAAUGUUCAGCGACGAGAUUGCUGCUUCAAAGACCUCUUUAUUUGACUUGUCAACGUAAAUGUGGCGUUGGUUGAGCAGUCCCAUGGAUCUGGCCAAUUUAAUUCUUCUUGAGCAAAGUUUGUUGAAGCAAGUCUAAUGCCUAGUUUGGCCAUUCUCUAGGAUUUAAGUUUCCGGAUAUCUACCAGGCGCUCAGGGCACAUGUGCUUGAAGUGCUCCAGCUUUCCGUAGUAGUGGCACAGUGUAUGCUGGUUUUGAGGCAUAUUGUUUUCGUGUCCCUGUGUGGUGUAGUGCGCGGUGCUAAAGUUGGGAGAAGAAGGGUUGGAUCCCUUCAUAUGUUGAUUGUGGUGAGUGUAGCUUCGGUUGCUGUGGAAGUAGAGUGCUUCGAUGGUCGCUGAUUUGAGCCUCGAUCUGGUUUGUCGUCGGAUUUCUUCAAGCAUCAAACGAGAUUGUAACUGAUCCAAGAUGUAUGGAUAUCAACUGGGUAUCUCCAACAGAUGCUUCAACAUAGGCUCACAUCUACAUUUUUCAUUCAUUGGGAGCAACAGAAGAAAAUGCGGCAACAGUUGAAGGACCUUACAAAGUUGCACAACAUCUUGAAAAGAUCAUGAUUUUUGAGCAUUAUCAUGGGCCAAACGAUUCCAAAAGGAUUGAGAUGAAACUCAAAAUUGAGUCAUUGGUUAAGUAUAAGAGGAGAUGCAAACACAAGAUUUGCAAUUGAGUCAUCGAACCAUUGAACGCAAUGAUCAGAAAACUUCGCGUGUGGCGAGAGAAUUCGAAGGCUGAAUCACUCCAAACAUCUCUUCAGUCAGAGAAGCAGUUAUUAGCUGGUUCUGUGCAGCAUGUGGAAACAUAGAAGGGAUAUCCUAUGAUUCUUGAGGUAUGAAAAUUUAGGUGUUUAGAUGCUUUUAUAGAAAUCCAAUUGAGUAUG